rnacentral:lncRNA from 1 species
AGGAAAAGUUUUUGGAUUUCUCUGGAGAAAGUAGAAUUUCUUGUAUUCGUCCAGUAGUUUGAACCUAAAAGAAAUGUGCCUGAGUCUUCUGACUUUUGGUAUUUUUUAAGUUUGUUGCUUCUUUCGUUAAACAAUAAUUUUUUAUAGUGUCCCACUUUGGAAGGUAAGAAAACAAGUAAAUAUGUUCUGAUAUAUCAGUUUAAAAGAAAAAGUUACUUUGAUGAUGCAUUUCUCUUGAAGAGUUGGCAAACUUUCUCACCUAGAGCUAAAAAAUUAGCGCGAAUAUAAAAUGUUGAUGCUUGGCUAUUAGGAUAUGCAUCUUAUGUGAGAAAGGUUGUCGUUCUUCAUUUUGAAGCUACAUCAGGUAGCUAGAUUUGCUUUUGUUCGUUGGUAAAAGUUCAUUUAUUUAUUGAAAGCGAGAGGAAAUUGAUUUAUUGUUUCAAAAUAAAUUUCCGUCCGUGUUUAAGGAAAAGUUUUUCGAUUCCUUUGGAAAAAGUAGAAUUUCUUUUGCUCAUUCGGUAGUUUGAACUUAAAAAAAAAUGAUCUUGGAUCUUCUGACUGCAAGUAAAUAUGUUUUCAUAUUGUUUUUAGUUUCUUGCGUCUUUCGCUAAAAAAUAAUUUUUAUAGUGUUCCGGUUUGGAAGGUAAGAAAACAAGUAAUUAUGUCCCGAUAUAUUAGUUUGAAAGAAAAUAUUACUUUGCUGAUGCAUUUUCUUUUGAAGAGUUGACAAACUUUCUCAUAGAGUUGAAAAAUUAAUGCGGACAUAAAACAUGGAUGCUUAGUUAUCGGGAUUUCAUCUUAUGUGAGAAAGGUUGUUGUUCUUCAUAUUAAAGCCACAUUAGGAAAUUAGAUUUGCUUUUGUUCGUCGCUAAAAGUGCCUUAAUUUAUUUUAUUGAAAGUGAGAGGAAAUUUUUAUUGUUUCAAAAUAUAUUUGCGACGGUUUUUAAGAAAGAGCUUUUCAAUUUCAUUGGAGGAAGUAUAAUUACUUGUUUCCAUCCGGUAGUUUGAACUUAAAAAAAAUAAUCCUGGAUCUUCUUGCUGCAAAUAAAUAUUUUUUGGUACAUUUUAAGUUUCUUGGUUCUUUUGUUAAAAUAUAAUUGUGUAUGGUGUUCUGGUUCGGAAAGUAAGAGAGCCACAAUUUAUUACUUAGAAAUUGUAAGCAUGUUUUAUAAAUUUUUUAAAAAUAAAUGCACCUUGAUGAAUAAGAAAAUGUUUCUUUCUUGAGAAAAUAUAAAUCUGCUCUAGUCCCUCACGUGCACCAACUAUGAAAAAAUGAAACCUAUCAUGAUGGCCCCUCUCUCUCUUAGACAUUGCAAUUUGCUUUCCUAGUAUGUGAUGACCAUUGACGAAAGACUUGUGUGCUUGAUUAUGGGAAUUGUCAGAUUUAGUUUAUCUGAGAAAGGUUGUUAGUAUGUGUUUUGAAGCUUCAUUUAUGAAAGAUAGUUGGUAAAGAAUAAAAAAUGGUCGGGUGUUUUGGGUAGAGAACAUUAUUUCUGUGGCCCUUUGCAUUCAUAAUGAAUGUUUUAAUUGAGAUUCUUGAACCCAAGGAUAAGAGCUUCAAUUCCUUAUCAACAAGCUUUCAGUUCCAAAAUUGCGGUGCUUGGAUAAUCAUUUUGAAAGUUAGAAGUUUCUCGAUCUUUCAAAACAAACUUAUUUUAUAUUCUUAAAUGUCUUAUGUCGAAAUAUAUAAGUUCGGAAAGUAAACUAGCUCGAUUAAUUUGUUUGAAACUGAGGGUGUCCUUAUUUAUUUUUUAAAAAUAAAUGUUCCUGUCGGUGCCUAGACAAAUGUUCCUCAAUUUUUUUGGGCAAUUCGGUCCCUCGGAAUAGUUCCAAUUCUUAAACAAAUGUGA